rnacentral:rRNA from 1 species
AUAAAGUUAAAAUGCUAAAUGACGAUCAAUUGGAGGGCAAGUCUGGUGCCAGCAGCCGCGGUAAUUCCAGCUCCAAUAGGAUAUAUCAAAGUUGUUGCAGUUAAAAAGCUCGUAGUCGUACUUCUGGUGGGUUGAUGUUCUUGUUGUUGUUUGAUGAAAAUCGAAUGCGACAUUGAACCGCCUGCCAUUUUGUGAAAACAAGAUGUUACAAGUGCACGCAAGUGUGUUUGUUCGUCUCCACUCAGUCACUGAGAGCAAAUUGGAGUGCUCAAAGCAGGCUUUACAGCUUUGAACAUUUUAGCUUGGAAUGACAAAGUAUGACUUCUAGUUCACUUUGUUGGUUCUGAAAGAGAAGUAAUGAUAAAUAGGAACAGUCGCGGGGGUACUCGUACUGGAAAGUCAGAGGUGAAAUUCUUGGAUUUUUCCACGACGAACGACUGCGAAAGCAUUUACCAAGGAUGUUUUCAUUGAUCAAGAACGAAAGUGCGAGGAUCGAAGAUGAUUAGAUACCAUCGUAGUUCGCACAGUAAACGAUGCCGACUCGGGAUUGGGAACUUUUCGUUAAUAAAAGAAGGUUCCCAGCACCGUAUGUGAAAACAAAGUCUUUGGGUUCCGGGGGGAGUAUGGUCGCAAGGUUGAAACUUAAAGGAAUUGACGGAAGGGCACACCAGAGUUGGAGCCUGCGGUUUAAUUUGACCCAACACGGGGAAACUCACCAGGUCCAGACAUGAGAAGGAUUGACAGUUUGAAAGCACUUUCUUGAUUUCAUGGGUGGUGGUGCAUGGCCGUUCUUAGUUGGUGGAGUGAUUUGUCUGGUUGAUUCCGAUAACGAACGAGACUCUCAGAGCAAACUGGCUUGCUAGUAAUUUGCGUUACUUGCAGUCUCUUUUCUCGACAAUUCGUUUUAAACGAAAGGAAGCAGAGAGCAAUAACAGGUCUGUGAUGCCCCUCGAUGUUCUGGGCUACACGCGCGCUACAAUGACGAGUUCAACGAGUUUAUUUCCUUGCCCGUAAGGGUGUGGGUAAUCUUUUCAAUGCUCGUCGUGAUGGGGCUAGAUUUUUGCAAUUAUUAAUCUUCAACGAGGAAUCUCUAGUAUGUGCAGUUCAUCAGACUGCGCAGAAUGCGUCCCUGCCCUUUGUACACACCGCCCGUCGCACCUACCGAUUGGACGAUCCGGCAAGAUGUUUGGAGUUGUGUCUUUUGCAUUUUCGGAUGUAUUUGAUGUGACGAAGCUCAU